ensembl:lncRNA
GUCAGCUUCCAUUACCUUUAGGUGUACCUGAACUGGCGCCGUCCUCUCAGUCCUCCUUGCUCCUGGGAGAUGGGGAUGCCCCCUCUUCCUAAAUGGGAACGAUGUUUGAGCAGGCGGGAGAAACAGAGGCUGGAAAAGCAGUGCCUUCCCAGUAUGCAGAAGUGCCGUGAGAUUGAGUCUGACCAGUAAGAUUUAAGAGGAAGUCUGCUGACUCAUCUAUUAGAUCAAGCAGAAGACUUGAAAGAGAAAUGUAUCAGACUCAUGCUUCUGGAAAAAAAAUGGAUUUGGAUGUACUUUACCUAUUUCUUCUUCUAAUUAUAACUAAAAUCCUUGGCUGAAAUACAUAAAGCAGCUAUCAUAAGACUCUGAAAGUUGGGGAAAAGAAGGUGG